rnacentral:rRNA from 1 species
GGCGGCGCGUCUUAAGCAUGCAAGUCGAACGGCAAGAGAAGUGCUUGCACUUCUCCGUAGAGUGGCGGGACUGGUGAGUAACAGGUGGGUGACAUACCCUUCAGAUGGGGAUAGCCGGUAGAAAUACCGGGUAAUACCGAAUACGCUCGUGCAUCUCGGAAGUGUACGAGGAAAGGAGCUACGGCUUCGCUGUUGGAUUGGCCCGCUUCCCCAUUAGCUAGUUGGUGAGGUAAUGGCCCACCAAGGCUAUGAUGGGUAUCCGGCCUGAGAGGGUGAUCGGACACAUUGGGACUGAGAUACGGCCCAGACUCCUACGGGAGGCAGCAGCUAAGAAUAUUCCGCAAUGGACGAAAGUCUGACGGAGCGACGCCGCGUGGAUGAUGAAGGCCGGAAGGUUGUAAAAUCCUUUAGCAAGUGAGGAAUAAGCAGAGCAGGGAAUGGCUCUGUGGUGACUGUAGCUUGAGAAUAAGCAUCGGCUAAUUACGUGCC